GCAGCUGAGAGCAGAAAUCAGAAAACCGGGAAGACGGGCCCUCCACCAGCCAACGAGAUGGAGACAGAUUGAAGGCAGACCUCGGUGCUUCAGAAGGCUCUAGAAGCGGUCAACUCCAACUGGAGAGAAACAGCUGCUCACACCAGUCACAACAACUAAGGUACCCACCUCUUGCAGCACCACUGCAGGGGCAUCUCCAGCCAUCCCGCCAAAGGUGCGACCCAGGAGACGCUCCAGGACUCAUCAGAGGUGGAGCCAUGAGCCCUCGGAUCUGGGGAGAAGCUGGGAGAACUUGCUGCUUGGGGGGCGCCAGCGCUGCAGGAGGUAAACACAGACUGAGUUGAGGGCACUGGAGAAUCAGGCUCAGGGGACCAGGGACCCACCUGCCCCUCCCAGCCCAGCAAGGACCUGCCUGGCUGUGGAUGGUGCGUCUGGAGGCCUGUCCAGGGAACGCGUGUCGCUGUGAGUGUCUGUAGCAGAAACACGUCAGGCAGAGCAGCUGCACAGCGGAGCAGUCUGCCUCCUAAGCCUGCAGAGGAAAUGAUGAACUAAACUUAAAGACGCCUCCUGGGAACUUGUGAGUUUGCAUUGAGGGCAGAAAUGAAGUGCUCAAUAGAGGUAAUCUGCUUGAAUCAUCCCCAGACCAUCCCCCCCAGCUCUGGUCUGUGGAAAAAUCACCUUCCCCGAAACCAGCCUAAACGAUGGAUUCUAUCUAAUGAAAGUCAGUCUGGGGAUCUACAGUGAUCUUCUCCAACCCAGGGAUUUGAACCCGAAUCUCUUGCAGCAGCAGGCUGAUUCUUUACCACUGAGCAACCUGGGAAGCCCAGGCUCCAUCUACAGUUAUUGCAAAACAGUGAGUAUAUUGUGUGUUGUAGAGUAUAUCCCUGUAGCUUAUUUUAUACCUAAUAGUCUCUACCUUU